AAUAACUUAGUUUGUGGUGUAGAAUCGGAAAUGAAAAACUUUAAUUUAGGUGUAGGUGUGAUCGAUGAAGAAUUUUAAGUACUGAAAAGGACUGAGUGAAAUAAAUGUAAUUAGUUAAUUAGACUAAUAAGGUAAUUCCUAUUUCCUUUUGCAUAAUGAUUUAAUUAGUUUGGUACUAGCAAUAAUGCAUGUUAGUUAACCCGAAACUAAACGAUCUAUUCUAGUUUUAGUAGAGUUGACUUAACUAAUUUAUGUUGCAAUAUAAUUAGAUAAAGUUAGGAUAGAGGUGACAUGCUAAUCGUGUUUAGUUCUAGCUGGUUAUUUAUGAAAUGGAUAGGAGUUCAGUUUUAUAGUUAAGUAUAAAGUGCGUCAUAUCGGAAUAUGCUGAUGUGUCAAAAUGUAAACAAAUAUCUUCUAUAUAUAAGUAGAUAAAUAGUUGUUAGUGGGCUUAAAAGCAGCCAUCUUAUGUAGAAAGCGUUAUAGCUUGAUAACACAAUUUAAUUAUUAUUUUAGUAUGGUAGUAAAUAACUCUUGUAGAGGAUCUUAUGUUAAAAUGCGUAGAUAGAGAAAAACUUAGACACGAGGUAAAUUUUAUGCUUGAUAGGUAUAUACAAGAAAGUACAAUUAUAAGAGUUAAUCUGACAUGAGAGUGUGGUUAAGUAAAUUAAUUAGGGAAUAGGAACUCGGCAAAUCUUAAGCUCGCCUGUUUAACAAAAACAUCGCCUUCAGAUUCAAUAUUGGAGGUCUGGUCUGCCCAGUGUAAUUAAUUAACGGCCGCGGUAUUCUGACUGUGCAAAGGUAGCAUAAUCACUUGCCCUUUAAAUGGGGGAAUGUAUGAAUGAUUAGACGAGGUUUUUACUGUCUCUUCCUUAUAAAUUGAGAUUACAAUACUUGUGAAAAUGCGGGUAAGGUAAUAAAGGACGAGAAGACCCUGUUGAGCUUUUAAGCUAAACUAUAGUACAGGUUAAGUUAAGUAAUAAUUUACAAUUAAAACGAGUAAUUUUUUGUAGGCUUUUUGGCUGGGGUGGCAAGCAAAGAUAUUAAGCUUUGUUGUAGUAUACAUUUUGUAUUUCUAGAUAAUAUGUAUCUAUAAAUAAUUAAAUUGAUCCGUUAAAAUAGAACGAUUAAAAGAAUAAGUUACCACAGGGAUAACAGCGUAAUUCUUUUUGAGAGCUCGAAUUGACAAAGGAGUUUGCGACCUCGAUGUUGGAUCAAGAUUCCUAGCGGUGUAGCAGCUGUUACGGGUUUGCCUGUUCGGCGAUUAAUAUCUUACGUGAUCUGAGUUCAGACCGUCGUAAGACAGGUUAGAUUCUAUCCUUAGGUUUAUGCAUUUAGUACGAAAGGACCAAUGGCAUGUAAUUUUAAGUUUUUACUAAAUUAUAA
rnacentral:rRNA from 1 species